rnacentral:rRNA from 2 species
AAGUCGUAACAAGGUCUCCGUUGGUGAACCAGCGGAGGGAUCAUUACCGAGUGUAAAAACUCCCAAACCAUUGUGAACCUACCACUGUUGCUUCGGCGGCCUCGCCCCGGGCGCGUUCGCGCGGCCCGGACCCAGGCGUCCGCCGGAGGCUCCAAACUCUUGUCUUUUAGUGUAUUUCUGAGUGGCAUAAGCAAAUAAAUCAAAACUUUCAGCAACGGAUCUCUUGGUUCUGGCAUCGAUGAAGAACGCAGCAAAAUGCGAUAAGUAAUGUGAAUUGCAGAAUUCAGUGAAUCAUCGAAUCUUUGAACGCACAUUGCGCCCGCCAGUAUUCUGGCGGGCAUGCCUGUCUGAGCGUCAUUUCAACCCUCAGGACCCGUUCGCGGGACCUGGCGUUGGGGAUCAGCCUGCCCCUGGCGGCGGCUGGCCCUGAAAUCCAGUGGCGGUUCCCUCGCGAACUCCUCCGUGCAGUAAUUAAACCUCUCGCGGCAGGAUAGCGGUUGAACCACGCCGUUAAACCCCCCACUUCUCAAGGUUGACCUCAGAUCAGGUAGGAAUACCCGCUGAACUUAA